AGGGACUCACACUCUUCAUAGUUGUUUUAUGACCCUGAAGGGUUUGGAGAACCUUUGUUGAUAUCACCGGGGUUUGAGGUUCACAUUCUGAUACAUUGAUUGAAGUUUUAGAGACUGAUACUGCAAAUGCUCGACCACUUGUGAAAGUGGUCACAAAGGUCAGCAAAUUGACUGUAAUGAUGGAGGCCUUCAGUGAGGCCGUCGAAUGGUUUAUUUUAAUGGGGAAGUAAGCAAAAAUGGGAAAAACAGGUUGAAGAGUUAUGCAGUAAUGCAUAGGUUUUCAAAGGUGAUGACACAUCAUGACAGAGCAAACAGGCUGAAGGUAAAAGGAGAAGAAAUUGACUGUGAAGGUGAGAAUGUGAGGUAACAUUUUUGUGUAAACUUGCUCGUAUGAGCAUAUUGCUUUGAGGUUAGAAUGAACAAAGAGAACUUGGUUGGUCAAUUAGUUGAUGAAGACAUGGAACAGUCAUACACCAUGAGGGUGAGACCUACAAGAAAAAACUCAAAGAGAUCAUUGAACGGGGACGCGAAGGCAAUAUUGGUGUUAAUUUUUCAUGAGUUGACUAUGGGGGUCAAUAAUCAGUUAUGUCGAAGAUUCCAAAUUUCUAUAUAUGAAUGGCUCCUCAAAUCGGUUGGAAACAAGGCCGUUUGAGAAAGGCAAUUUUCCAAAACAAUGUGUAAAUACUCUAGGAGCAGAUAAAUAUAUGCAGAGGCAUUCUUUACGUCAACGCAUCACAUUCUUCAUUCAGCUGAGGCUCUAAUCCAAAGCGAUUUGCAGGAAGUGAAUUUGAACAAGAGGGAACAGAACCAGAACAGCAAGAACAAAGAAGAGAUUUCUCCUUCUAAGAAAGCACCAUUCGUGAACAUCAGGAGUCAGGACAAAUGAUGACUUUGUUGGGAGUUUAGCUCCCAGUAAAAGAAACAACAGGCAGAUGCUGAGAUGGGAGUGAAUUAGGGACGAGGAUAGAUUUCAAAGGGGAUGCAGAGGUUGAAAGGGGAUGGCGACUCAUGGUCGAGGAGGGAGUGAGCAGACCUCCCUAAACAACAACUGAUAAGAGGAGGAAUCCUGGGGAAGUGUCGGAGCCAUAAAAUCCAUCCACAGGUUGUAUUUCAUCUCAGAGUCACCCAACAGGUUUAAGAAUCACACACGGUUGGUAUGGGGGGAAUUAUUUCACUAUGAUAAAUUUACUGACACAUUUUUCCUCGAAUACAUGUGCAUGGCAAUUGUUAACUAUGUUUUGCUUUUCAGUAGGAACAGGCGACUCCAAUGCGAGACGGUCCAGAUCGGCAACGACACCCAGUAGAAACGGCGUUG
ensembl:lncRNA